AUCGGUUUCGUGUGUCAAAUACAAGAAUUAAUACUACAGUACCCAUGAGCCUUAUCGACAUCUACUAUGGUGAAGGCACCAGCUAAAACUACAUGUGGGCCCGCUGCAGAUCACAAUAUUUUCUCAACACAUGAAUACUAACGUGUGCUUGAUAAUUCAACAAUACGAUGUUAUGGCCAUCAAUUUUGAUUGUUUCUACUUUGAUUGUAAAAAAAAAAAUAAGUCAGUUUCGGACGCCUGCAUUUCCCAGAAUCCUCUCUGCCUCCGUUGCUAUGGAAUCUGAGCCAGUCCUCUUUGCUAUUGGGUGAUUUCUUCUUCGGUACUCGUAAUUGACAGGGAUUCUCUCAUACGCGAAAAUCAUUGUCCAGGUAAGUCACGAUGCUUUCGUUUAAAGUUCACUAUUUGUUUAAAUGUUAUAAUUCACGCCUUUCUUUUGGCAUUACGCUGACAUUGCCAUAGCCGUACGAAAAUUAACCAUGUUUUUGUGGUAAAAGUGUAGUAACUACGGUUUGUGUAUCGAUUAUUUGCAAAAUGGUUUUACUAAACCAAACAUGGUUUAACUUUUUUUUUUCAAAUUCAUGGUUCUUUCUUAACUUGCAACCUAUCUCUAUAUAUACUGCAUCUGUUGUACCUGUCUGUCCAGCUGUGUGUUUGUCUUUCUGUCUUUGUCUGCUUUGCAAUGGCCACCAGAUAUACCCCUCACAAACAGGAUCCCCACUACCAAGAGGGGAGGCUCAUGGCUCUUGAGCUGAACCAUGACCACAUUCUAGCUGAAGCCAAGAGCAGCUGUGGAGACGAAAUGUUUAUGCCCUAGAAGAGACCCUUCACAGACCUCUAAAAGGAUCUUUGUUGGCUGGGGCAAGCCGAGGGGGAGGCAAGGAGGGUGACGCCAAGCCUCAGCUACAGGUCACUUUUACAGGUUGAGUGCUUCCUGUCAUCCAGUGUGGAGUUUCCACUUAACUGUACCCUCAGCAAAACUAAAUCCUCAUGAGGAAUUUGGUGCAGAGAGUGGUUCUGUGGGGACCGUGAUGUAUUACGUCACAAAAAACAGCCACUCCCCAAUAGGGAAUGUGUAAUUAAUAGUUUUUUUGUAGCCAUCCGUCCAACCAAAUGCAUCAUUAAAGGGGAAGAUGGAUAUUGCACUCAACACAAGGUAUGUUCUCAAAAAAGCCCUAAUUUUGAUGUUUUUAUGUGUCUGCAGCCAGUAACAGGUAAUCUAAACUAGUGGUUUUCUUUCUUUUUGGCAGUCGGCAAGAUGACAUACCACUGUUGUAAACGCACAAACGUAAUAAUGCUUUCAGGCAAACCAAUCAUUUUAAUUACCAUCAAUGGUAAAACCAAUUCACAGUUUAGAUUUCCAUUUUAGAUUUGAUGUUUUUCACACUAUGUUUUGAUGUUUUCAAUGCUGUGGCAUUGUACUUUGCAGUAGAGUCAAAGUGCAUUGUAUAGCACAUUACAAUCCAAGUAGGGCAUCGUGAGCAAGGCCUGUUGUGGGAGUCUAAAUGGGGGUCAACUGCAUGCAAUUUAUGUUUAGUUAUUAUUUAUUUAUUUUGUGAUUUUAGAUAUGUUCAUCAUUCAUCAGUUCUCACUUCCCUGGACUUCAACCUGGCUACACACAUGGUAUCGUUAUUAAUCGAAACAAAGACAGAUAUCUUUAUAUUUUUGUUCUCUGCAGACAAACAAAAAAUGUUAGCUGUUGCAAAGCAAUUUGGUGAGUUAGCAAAUGAUACUACUCGAGAAGUUAGGCAGAAGGAGUGCUAUACUGGGAUUAUAGAAACUUAUAAGAUGUCUCUUAAACAUUCACAAUGUGCAGAAUGAACUAACUGUUUUAAAAUAGUAUGUGGUAAAUGUUUUUUUUCCAAGGGCGUUUUGACUUGCCUCAGCCACUGUAUGUCUGUUAAACAUGCAAACAGCAAAGGACCCCAGACCUGAAAGACCUUUUGAGGAGUGGAUAUUGGCCAGCUUCAAUAAACAACACCACACUUUACACACUGGACCUCCUGAUCUCCUUUCAAGAACUCAAGGUCAUCUCUCCAAGAUUUUCCAGACAAGCCUUCGCAAAGCUGCUGGAGCAUCGCACGAAGUGUGGAGGAAGAUUUGGAUAUAUCAACGGCGAUGCACUGCAAUGCAGCUUCUUGGAGUUUUCAUACACUUAAUUUGAAUCAGACCAGCUCUGGUGUGGUGCUCCUUUCACCUGCCCAGCCUGAACGCUAGAAUUGUUGGCUGCUUCAGCAGAUCGAAACAGAAAGCUAUAUCGCUUUUGCCGAAACAGAAGACUGUGGCUUGCAAAUAUUGGCCAUACUUGAAGAAAGUUGCUAGUGUCCUUCCUGAUCUUCAGGAGCUGACCUCAAUGAAACCUUUCCUUAAUGUCAUGCAUGCUUGAGCCACGCUACAACGUGUGAGAUUAAAUGAAGUGGUAGGAACCAGGAAGGAACAGGGACAACCACCGGUGAGUGGAGCAAGUGAACAGCUACCUUUCACGUUGUGCCCGUACAACCAAAUAUAUGUCCAAAGCAGCACCGGUGGACAUGCUUACAUUGCAUGCAAUGGGCUGGAACCAUAAAAAAGUAUCUCUCUACAUCAGGCACUUUCCACAAUAUAUGUGAAAACAUCCAGCACGAGACUGCAAGGCUAGCAGAACUAAAAACAAAGCUACAUUGCAAAGAUGAAGUGCCGUCACAAUGGCUUUCUGAUGUGAAAGAAUGGGCAGCUGGUGCAGCAUGCUUCGCCACCGCCUUCGAAGUAAGCUGGCAGAGGACAAAAAGCUCCUUCUUCAGGAGAUACAGAAAUACAAUGAUCUUGUACUAGACUCUGCCACAAACAUCAUUGACCUAGCUUUGGUGGAGCAUUCCCUCACUGGAGAGAGCAGUGUGUCUCAGAUAUGGCCGUGCGACCUUAAUGGCAGUGCAAACAUUUCAGUCAAGAAACGAUUGCAUGACCAAGUGAUGUUGACAAUGUGACUGCAAGAGGAAAGGGGCAUUGUGGUGUUGGAGAUGGCGCAACACUACACAUGUGUGCAGAGCCUGGCAGUGGCUCUCAAGAACAAGAUGGCUGAGGAGGACAAGGGAAAUGAAGGACUUUGCUGUCUCUUAAGAAGAAGAUCGUCAGUGGUGUCAGAAGGGUUGCAAGUCGUCCUUCAACAAUACAAGACUGCAUUAGGUCUUGAGGCCUCUGUCCUUCUACAUGUUGAAGAAGAAGAUCAAAGUGACCUCAGCAGUCCAGAUACCAGCGAGGAUGAAAACAUAAUUUAGAUAGAAACUGCACAAAGGACUGCGUUUAAGGAAAUGGACUUGGCAUAUAUCUGUGUAGUGUUAGUAUGCUAACUACAUUAUUAUCUGUAUGCAUCCUAUAUUGUUGAAAUGUUCAACCUGUGUCUAGAUUAUCAAGCAUGUUAUUUAGGACGUUGAUGCUCCUUAAAUAUGCACAAACAUCUCAAUAUAGGUGUAACAAUCGUAUGAUAUUAUCAGAUGUAAUAAUUGAACUGAUGUUAUAUUUGGCUAGUGUAUUCAUAAUUUGUGUAUUUAAAGUUGCUAAUGGGCAUUGUUAGCCACAUCACAAACUCAAUGUUAAAACACUGCUUUUUGUGCUUUAUUGUGUUUAUGUACUUGCAUUGGUGCAGUAAUAUCGAUGUUAUGCAGUAAGGUCAUUGGUGUGUUUUACAAUGGCUUUGAACAGAGCUCAACCAAUCAGAAUAAUCAUUGAUAAUAAAGUAAAAGUUUUAUAACGGGUAAGUUGGUAUGAAAUAUUGUAAGCACAUUCAUCAGGAUGACUUUGCUGACCUUUUGACCUUUAUUACCACAUUUAGGCCAAACUGUGAAAACUCUACUUGAUUGAGUGUAUUAUAGGAUAUAACUGUUGUGCACCAUUGAAGAUAAACAUCAUAAAUUCUUUCUUAAAGAUGGAUAA